GUUUGCCUCCCUGUUCUCUGAAGAUCAGGAUCCUCACAGCCUCAGGAGAACUUCUGUGAAGCAUAGUUGAACACAACGUAAGGGAAGGAGCACCAAGCCCUGGGACAUGCCUCCCAUCAAGCAAGCAUCGCCAGGCCUACUCUCACGCAACACACACUAUGAACCCAUCAAGUGAAGACAGCACCAAGAACCUGCAAAACUAUUCUUUUAAAUCCUACACUGGAAGGAAUUGACAGAAACAAGAGAGACAAACUCUUCUUCAGAAGGACUUCGUAAUUUUCCAGUAAUGAAUGGAACCUGAGCUGCAUCCACAGCCUGCACACUAGGUGUUAAAAACACACCCAAGCUCAUGCUCAUUGUACAUACCAAAUAAGCAUAACAAAUACCUGGAAUGAGGUUUCCAUAGGUAACAGUUCUGUGAGACUGACUAUAUAUUUUCAAACUGCACCUCACUUCGGAGGCUAUAUGUAAACAGGAAUGGCAGAUGGUCAUUGCUGUGAAUCCAGGCUGGGAUCCUCCUGUGCUGCGGCUCUCACAAAGACCGGGAGCUGAAACAAGCAUCCAACAGCAUGGAAGGAGAUGAGAUAUCCUAUAGCUGUAAAAUUAUCACCACUUAAGGGACAGGUGAAAUGAGGCAGAGAAAGACUCCUUCUGUAUUCUAAAAAUACCCACUUCCUCACUUUAUUAUCCACUGCUAUUUGAGUGUUGUUUUUUACCACCUUGCCCAUUCAAAAACCACUUACUUUACAUCAGACCAAGCCUGAAGACAGCACAACAGCACUUCUGUUUAAAUAGCUGGAGCUUCAAGUGAGGGUCAAGGCCACAAUGUUUAAGGUAUUCAACCUUGAAAGGCACUUACAAAAGCACUGAGCCAGCAGAGACUAGAGCUAAAUUCAGCUCUUACCCUAGUUUUGAACUGCUUCAACAACUUUGUUUUCAGCACAGUCACACUCGGUUUCUACUAUUGUAAAGGAAAGUGGACUCACAUAACCCCAAGGAACACAAGCGGGGUCCUAAGUUAAAGCCAGCUGUACUCUUUGCUACAGAUAUGUCACUGAUGUGAUCCCUUUAGCAGACCAAGUGUUCCAUCAAGUGAUACGGCUGUAAAUAAUUUACCACCAACCCCAUAAUAGUUGAUUAAAACCUACUGAAAGAAGAUCUAAUUAAAUUGUCUCUGAAAGAA